rnacentral:lncRNA from 1 species
GCCCAUUUCUCAGGAACAUCAUAGUUACUCAUUAAAUUCACAAGGUCUCCACCAGGCAUGUAUUCCAUGACCAUGUAAAGGUAACGAUCAUCUUGGAAUGCGUAAAACAACUGAACAACCCAGGGACUAUUAGCAAAAGCCAUAAUAUCCCUUUCUUCCCAGAAGAACGCAGAAUCUGAUCUUUUUAUCAUCUCAAAUUUGCUCAGAAGUUUCAUAGCAUACACUCUUCUUGAUGAUUUAUGCCUUACCAACUGAACCUCCCCAAAUGCCCCUCUGCCAAUCACCUUCACCACUUCAUAAUCUUCAGCUUUCAUCCGCAGAUCUCUCAUUUUAUUUACUGUGUCUUUAUACCUGUUUAAGAAGUUAUCAAUGUUUUUGUUUUUUCGUAAGGCAGGAAAAUCCAAGUCAUAUACCAAAGCAUCUAACCCAUCCAGCAAACAGUCCACGUUCACUUCGGAUUUGGGAUCCUUUAAAGUCCCGUCGAUUUUUUCGAACCGAGACUCAAAACUUUC